rnacentral:rRNA from 1 species
GACGAACGCUGGCGGCGUGCCUAAUACAUGCAAGUAGAACGCACAGUUUAUACCGUAGCUUGCUACACCAUAGACUGUGAGUUGCGGACGGGUGAGUAACGCGUAGGUAACCUGCCUGGUAGCGGGGGAUAACUAUUGGAAACGAUAGCUAAUACCGCAUAAUAUUAAUUAUUGCAUGAUAAUUAAUUGAAAGGUGCAAUUGCACCACUACCAGAUGGACCUGCGUUGUAUUGGCUAGUAGGUGAGGUAACGGCUCACCUAGGCGACGAUACAUAGCCGACCUGAGAGGGUGAUCGGCCACACUGGGACUGAGACACGGCCCAGACUCCUACGGGAGGCAGCAGUAGGGAAUCUUCGGCAAUGGACGAAAGUCUGACCGAGCAACGCCGCGUGAGUGAAGAAGGUUGUCGGAUCGUAAAGCUCUGUUGUAAGAGAAGAACGGGGGUGAGAGUGGAAAGUUCACACUGUGACGGUAUCUUACCAGAAAGGGACGGCUAACUACGUG